rnacentral:rRNA from 1 species
CGUAGGAGGCAAGCGUUAUCCGGAAUGACUGGGCGUAAAGGGUGCGUAGGUGGUUUGGCAAGUUGGUAGCGUAACUCUGGGGCUCAACCUCGGAUCUACUACCAAAACUGUUGGGCUUGAGUGCAGGAGGGGUAAAUGGAAUUCCUAGUGUAGCGGUGGAAUGCGUAGAGAUUAGGAAGAACGCCAGCGGCGAAGGCGAUUUACUGGACUGUAACUGACACUGAGGCACGAAAGCGUGGGGAGCAAA